rnacentral:lncRNA from 1 species
AAAAAAAAUUUUUUUUUUUUGGUCUUUUUGCCAUUUCUUGGGGCGCUCCCGCGGCAUAUGGAGUUCCCAGGGUAGGGGUCUAAUCAGAGCCAUGGCCGCUGGUCUACACCAGAGCCACAGCAACGCAGGAUCCGAGCCGUGUCUGCGACCUAUACCACAGCUCACGGCAACGCCAGGUCCUUAACCCACUGAGCAAGGGCAGGGACCGAACCCGCAACUUCAUGGUUCCUAGUCGGAGUCAUUAACCACUGAGCCACGAUGGGAACUCAGUCAAUACAACUGAUUUGCUGUGACUUAGGAGUCCUUUUCAAAGGUCUUCAGGGUCUAGGCCUUUCAUCUUUGGGAAUUUGUUUCUCAUGAAGGUGUUGAAGGGAAGGCGGUUGGAAAUAGUGGAAACUGGAGUCAGCUGCCGGCCCUGCCCAAAGGCCAUUCUCAUUUCAACUUUAACAAAACCAAAGCUGGGAGGGCCACACAACACUUACCUGGUUUGAAUUGGGCUCAUAGGUGCAAUUUGACAUCUCCUCUGAAGCCAUGGUCCUUUGUUGGGAUAGUCUUUGCCUUUGCCAUCUCUCAGGUUUUAGUUACCUUCCCCUGCCCCCUGCCUUGUUUAGGCCCCAGGCUAUAGUGCUCCUGGCUCAUGUCCCGGGCCCUACUCUGGCUCCUGCCAGGAAGGACCAUCGCAUCAGUUGACUUUAGUAAACCACUUGAAUGGGAAGGAAGAUUUGGGGUCAGGGUAGCCUCAAGUUAGAGCGUGAGCAGCGUGGGUUUGUGGGGUCUCAAGAAUGCCAUGAGUGUUCUGGUGGUCCUGGAGUCAGGCUUGGGUAGAUUCCAGCUCUGCUGCUUACCAGUUGUAUGUCUGCAGGAGGCAAAGUGCUUUGCCUGUCGAAGCCUCGCCUUCUACCUCUGAGAGUGGUAGAAGGAUAAAGGGUUUUCAUGAGAUUGGGAACAUGCCCAGCUCAGAGCCCAGCACAUGGUCAGCCCUGUAGCUUUUGGGACUUAGAGACCUUGUGGACAUGCCAUGGUGGAUACUCCUACAAGUCAUGGCAAAAUGUUGUGUUGAUGUGCACUUUAUUUUUCCUGGGGAGAGGAUCCAUUACCUUUCGUGAGAUUCUCAACACAGACCACGACAGCGUAGGGACGCUGGUGUUCAGGGCUGCUGAGGAAGUUGUCCCAGGACCCAGAGGUUGACGAAUUGACACGCAGGGCCUCCUAGACCUGGAAGGGCAAAGUCGAGUUUGGUUCGUUCUUUCCAUCCCCGUCAGAACUUGACUGAUCAUAGAUUUAUGCAGUUGACCCACUUUCUCCAAGGGCAGAGCCAGUUUUCCAGGCGGUGCCGAUGUCAGAAUUGGAAAAGCAGAUUCUCAGUCAGCCAACGUGACCUCUGCAAGAAUGGCCGUGUUGCUGGCUUUCCAUUUGAAGGCAGGGAUAGGGGCAGGGGUAUGUGAUGAAUAACCCCAGAGGGACUGUGACGGUCACUGCUGAUGUUAUGACCAGAUGCAGGAGCGUCUAGAAGAGGAAGGCUGUGCCUCAUGAAGGGGCCAUACAGGAGAGCGUUUCUGGUGUUUGGUGCUGCGACCCCUCCCUCCACCUCCCUUGUGCACCCGGAGGGGGAUUUCUACAGCAGCGUGGAAGCCCGGCUCCUAGGGCAGUGGCCUUGGGCACAUGGCUGAGGGUUGUCUUUCACAGUCAACCCCUGUGCCCCUGUGAGUCCCUAACCACCCCUUCCCAUGUCACCCUUCCCUGGGCUGAAAACAUGACUCAGAAGAUUAAUGAGGCAAUGGGAAAAUACCGCAUCCAGUGCUCUGUCCCUCUGUUCCUUUCCCACAGACCUGAUCCAGAGCCAUCACAGAACUUGGAAAGGGCACUUGGCUUCUAGGGAACCAGCUAUUGGAAAUCUUUCACGACUCUUGCACUUAGAACACCCCCCAGUUGUGUCCUCAGUUCUGGCUCGUGUGCUUUGUUUAUGCAACAGGUGUUUUUAGAUGAGGGACUAGAAAUUGGUGGAGAAAAAGUCAGAUGGGUUCAAGGAUGGAUAGUGGGACAGACAGAUGAAUAGAUGUGUGAUAAAUACGAAUAGUCAAAUGUAAGGGACAAACUCUGGUCCACAUGGUGGCUAUCCAGGUGUUCAUUGUAAAAUGCUUUCAAUAUCGCUGUGUGUUUGAAGAUUUUAAUAAUCGAAUGUGGUUGGAAAUGAGAUGAAGUGUUCGGGUGUAAAAACUCUGGGGAUUUUGUGAAUUGGGGAUUCCACAUCUCCUCCCACCCUCCACCAUGGUUUCCCCAUUGUUUUCAAGUUCUGUCUUCAUGGCCUAGUCACUGUUAGGGACACUCGGGGGCAUGUUCUAAGUGAUGUGGAUACAAUAGUGGCAAGAGUGUCCUCUGACUGUGGGACACAUGCGCUUUCAUUAUUUCGAGGGCAGAUCGGACAAGCCCUUGUGAAAAAAGUUCUAUGUGGAGUUCCCACUGUGGCUCAGUGGUUUCAUGAAGUAUCUGGUAUCAUGAGGACUUGGGUUCCAUCCCUGGCCCUGCUCAUUGGGUUAAGGAUCCAUUGUUGCUAUGGUG